GUGUCAGCAGCCGCGGUAAUACGUAGGGUGCGAGCGUUAAUCGGAAUUACUGGGCGUAAAGCGUGCGCAGGCGGCUUUUUAAGCCAGAUGUGAAAUCCCCGGGCUUAACCUGGGAACUGCAUUUGGAACUGGAAGGCUAGAGUGUAGCAGAGGGGGGUAGAAUUCCACGUGUAGCAGUGAAAUGCGUAGAGAUGUGGAGGAAUACCGAUGGCGAAGGCAGCCCCCUGGGCUAACACUGACGCUCAUGCACGAAAGCGUGGGGAGCAAACAGGAUUAGAAACCCCCGUAGUCC
rnacentral:rRNA from 1 species